rnacentral:rRNA from 1 species
UACGUAGGGAGCAAGCGUUGUUCGGAUUUACUGGGCGUAAAGGGCGCGUAGGCGGCAAAUUAAGUCAGCUGUGAAAUCUCCGAGCUUAACUCGGAACGGUCAGCUGAUACUGAUCUGCUAGAGUGCGGAAGGGGCAAUCGGAAUUCCUGGUGUAGCGGUGAAAUGCGCAGAUAUCAGGAGGAACACCGGUGGCGAAGGCGGGUCUCUGGGCCGAUACUGACGCUGAGGAGCGAAAGCGUGGGGAGCGAACAGG